rnacentral:rRNA from 1 species
CCUACGGGAGGCAGCAGUGGGGAAUAUUGGGCAAUGGGCGCAAGCCUGACCCAGCAACGCCGCGUGAAGGAAGAAGGCUUUCGGGUUGUAAACUUCUUUUCUCAGGGACGAAGCAAGUGACGGUACCUGCGGAAUAAGCCACGCCUAAAUACGUGCCAGCAGCCGCGGUAAUACGUAGGUGGCAAGCGUUAUCCGGAUUCACUGGGUGUAAGGGGCGUGUAGGCGGGAAAGCAAGUCAGAUGUGAAAACCAUGGGCUUAACCCGUGGCCUGCAUUUGAAACUGUUGUUCUUGAGUACUGGAGAGGCAGACGGAAUUCCUAGUGUAGCGGUGAAAUGCGUAGAUAUUAGGAGGAACACCAGUGGCGAAGGCGGCCUACUGGACGGUAACUGACGCUGAGGCGCGAAAGCGUGGGGAGCAAACAGGAUUAGAUACCCCAGUAGUC